CCUACGGGUGGCAGCAGUGGGGAAUCUUCCGCAAUGGGCGAAAGCCUGACGGAGCAACGCCGCGUGAACGAUGAAGGUCUUAGGAUCGUAAAGUUCUGUUGUUAGGGACGAAGGGUAAGAAUCAUAAUAAGGUUUUUAUUUGACGGUACCUAACGAGGAAGCCACGGCUAACUACGUGCCAGCAGCCGCGGUAAUACGUAUGUCGCAAGCGUUAUCCGGAUUUAUUGGGCGUAAAGCGCGUCUAGGCGGUUUAGUAAGUCUGAUGUGAAAAUGCGGGGCUCAACCCCGUAUUGCGUUGGAAACUGGGAAACUUGAGUGCAGGAGAGGAGAGUGGAAUUCCUAGUGUAGCGGUGAAAUGCGUAGAUAUUAGGAGGAACACCAGUAGCGAAGGCGGCUCUCUGGACUGUAACUGACGCUGAGGCAC
rnacentral:rRNA from 1 species